rnacentral:rRNA from 1 species
GACGAACGCUGGCGGCGUGCUUAACACAUGCAAGUCGAACGGAAAGGCCCGGCUUUUGUGGGGUGCUCGAGUGGCGAACGGGUGAGUAACACGUGAGUAACCUGCCCUUGACUUUGGGAUAACUUCAGGAAACUGGGGCUAAUACCGGAUAGGAGCUCCUGCUGCAUGGUGGGGGUUGGAAAGUUUCGGCGGUUGGGGAUGGACUCGCGGCUUAUCAGCUUGUUGGGGGGGUAGUGGCUUACCAAGGCUUUGACGGGUAGCCGGCCUGAGAGGGUGACCAGGCACAUGGGGACUGAGAGACGGACCAGACUCCUACGGGAGGCAGCAGUGGGGAAUAUUGCGCAAUGGGCGGAAGCCUGAUGCAGAGACGCCGCGUGCGGGAUGACGGCCUUCGGGUUGUAAACCGCUUUCGCCUGUGACGAAGCGUGAGUGACGGUAAUGGGUAAAGAAGCACCGGCUAACUACGUG